CAUCGGAACAUGUCCCGUCGUGGGGGAUAACGUAGCGAAAGUUACGCUAAUACCGCAUACGACCUGAGGGUGAAAGCGGGGGCUCGCAAGACCUCGCGCGAUGGGAGUGGCCGAUGUCCGAUCAGCUAGUUGGUGAGGUAAAGGCCCACCAAGGCGACGACCGGUAGCGGGUCUGAGAGGAUGAUCAGACACACUGGAACUGAGACACGGCCCAGACUCCUACGGGAGGCAGCAGUGAGGAAUAUUGCACAAUGGAGGAAACCCUGAUCCAGCAACGCCGCGUGGAGGAUGACGCAUUUCUGUGUGUAAACUCCUUUUAAGAGGGAAGAUAAUGACGGUACCUCUUGAAUAAGCACCGGCUAACUCCGUGCCAGCGGCCGCGGUAAUACGGAGGGUGCAAGCGUUACUCGGAAUCACUGGGCGUAAAGGGUGCGUAGGCUGGCUUCUAAGUCAGAUGUGAAAUCCAAUGGCUUAACCAUUGAACUGCAUUUGAAACUGGGAGCCUAGAGUUCAGAAGGGGCAGAUGGAAUUAGUGGUGUAGGGGUAAAAUCCGUAGAUAUCACUAGGAAUAUCAAAAGCGAAGGCGAUCUGCUGGGAUGAUACUGACGCUGAGGCACGAAAGCGUGGGGAGCAAACAGGAUUAGAUACCCUGGUAGUCCACGCCCUAAACGAUGAAUGCUAGUCGUCGGGGAGCUCGUCUCUUCGGUAAUGCACUUAACAGAUCAAGCAUCCGCCUGGG
rnacentral:rRNA from 1 species